rnacentral:rRNA from 1 species
AAUUGAAGAGUUUGAUCAUGGCUCAGAUUGAACGCUGGCGGCAGGCCUAACACAUGCAAGUCGAGCGGUAGCACAGAGAGCUUGCUCUCGGGUGACGAGCGGCGGACGGGUGAGUAAUGUCUGGGAAACUGCCUGAUGGAGGGGGAUAACUACUGGAAACGGUAGCUAAUACCGCAUAACGUCGCAAGACCAAAGUGGGGGACCUUCGGGCCUCAUGCCAUCAGAUGUGCCCAGAUGGGAUUAGCUAGUAGGUGGGGUAAUGGCUCACCUAGGCGACGAUCCCUAGCUGGUCUGAGAGGAUGACCAGCCACACUGGAACUGAGACACGGUCCAGACUCCUACGGGAGGCAGCAGUGGGGAAUAUUGCACAAUGGGCGCAAGCCUGAUGCAGCCAUGCCGCGUGUAUGAAGAAGGCCUUCGGGUUGUAAAGUACUUUCAGCGAGGAGGAAGGCAUUAAGGUUAAUAACCUUGGUGAUUGACGUUACUCGCAGAAGAAGCACCGGCUAACUCCGUGCCAGCAGCCGCGGUAAUACGGAGGGUGCAAGCGUUAAUCGGAAUUACUGGGCGUAAAGCGCACGCAGGCGGUUUGUUAAGUCAGAUGUGAAAUCCCCGGGCUCAACCUGGGAACUGCAUUUGAAACUGGCAAGCUUGAGUCUUGUAGAGGGGGGUAGAAUUCCAGGUGUAGCGGUGAAAUGCGUAGAGAUCUGGAGGAAUACCGGUGGCGAAGGCGGCCCCCUGGACAAAGACUGACGCUCAGGUGCGAAAGCGUGGGGAGCAAACAGGAUUAGAUACCCUGGUAGUCCACGCUGUAAACGAUGUCGACUUGGAGGUUGUUCCCUUGAGGAGUGGCUUCCGGAGCUAACGCGUUAAGUCGACCGCCUGGGGAGUACGGCCGCAAGGUUAAAACUCAAAUGAAUUGACGGGGGCCCGCACAAGCGGUGGAGCAUGUGGUUUAAUUCGAUGCAACGCGAAGAACCUUACCUACUCUUGACAUCCAGAGAACUUAGCAGAGAUGCUUUGGUGCCUUCGGGAACUCUGAGACAGGUGCUGCAUGGCUGUCGUCAGCUCGUGUUGUGAAAUGUUGGGUUAAGUCCCGCAACGAGCGCAACCCUUAUCCUUUGUUGCCAGCGGUCCGGCCGGGAACUCAAAGGAGACUGCCAGUGAUAAACUGGAGGAAGGUGGGGAUGACGUCAAGUCAUCAUGGCCCUUACGAGUAGGGCUACACACGUGCUACAAUGGCAUAUACAAAGAGAAGCGACCUCGCGAGAGCAAGCGGACCUCAUAAAGUAUGUCGUAGUCCGGAUUGGAGUCUGCAACUCGACUCCAUGAAGUCGGAAUCGCUAGUAAUCGUAGAUCAGAAUGCUACGGUGAAUACGUUCCCGGGCCUUGUACACACCGCCCGUCACACCAUGGGAGUGGGUUGCAAAAGAAGUAGGUAGCUUAACCUUCGGGAGGGCGCUUACCACUUUGUGAUUCAUGACUGGGGUGAAGUCGUAACAAGGUAACCGUAGGGGAACCUGCGGUUGGAUCACCUCCUUA